rnacentral:rRNA from 1 species
AUUGAACGCUGGCGGCAGGCCUAACACAUGCAAGUCGAACGGAGUGGCGGCCGGGUGAGUAAUGUCUGGGAAACUGCCUGAUGGAGGGGGAUAACUACUGGAAACGGUAGCUAAUACCGCAUACUAUCAGAUGAGCCUAGGUCGGAUUAGCUAGUUGGUGGGGUAAAGGCCUACCAAGGCGACGAUCCGUAACUGGUCUGAGAGGAUGAUCAGUCACACUGGAACUGAGACACGGUCCAGACUCCUACGUGAGGCAGCAGUGGGGAAUAUUGGGCAAUGGGCGAAAGCCUGACGCAGCCAUGCCGCGUGUGUGAAGAAGGUCUUCGGAUUGUAAAGCACUUUAAGUUGGGAGGCGUUACCAACAGAAUAAGCACCGGCUAACUUCGUGCCAGCAGCCGCGGUAAUAC